ACGGUAACAGGGGAGCUUGCUCCCGCUGACGAGUGGCGAACGGGUGAGUAAUGCAUCGGAACGUGCCGAAUAGUGGGGGAUAACGCACCGAAAGGUGUGCUAAUACCGCAUACGCCCUGAGGGGGAAAGUGGGGGACCGCAAGGCCUCACGCUAAUCGAGCGGCCGAUGUCGGAUUAGCUAGUUGGUGGGGUAAAGGCUCACCAAGGCGACGAUCCGUAGCGGGUCUGAGAGGAUGAUCCGCCACACUGGGACUGAGACACGGCCCAGACUCCUACGGGAGGCAGCAGUGGGGAAUUUUGGACAAUGGGGGAAACCCUGAUCCAGCCAUGCCGCGUGUCUGAAGAAGGCCUUCGGGUUGUAAAGGACUUUUGUCCGGGAGGAAACCCUGAUCGUUAAUAGCGGUCGGGACUGACAGUACCGGAAGAAUAAGCACCGGCUAACUACGUGCCAGCAGCCGCGGUAAUACG
rnacentral:rRNA from 1 species